GAUGAACGCUGGCGGCGUGCCUAAUACAUGCAAGUCGAGCGAACAGAUCAGGAGCUUGCUCCUUUGACGUUAGCGGCGGACGGGUGAGUAACACGUGGGUAACCUACCUAUAAGACUGGAAUAACUCCGGGAAACCGGGGCUAAUGCCGGAUAACAUUUAGAACCGCAUGGUUCUAAAGUGAAAGAUGGUUUUGCUAUCACUUAUAGAUGGACCCGCGCCGUAUUAGCUAGUUGGUAAGGUAACGGCUUACCAAGGCAACGAUACGUAGCCGACCUGAGAGGGGGGUAGGCCACACUGGAACUGAGACACGGUCCAGACUACUACGGGAGGCAGCAGUAGGGAAGCGUACGCAAUGGGCGAAAGCCUGACGGAGCAAGGCCGCGUGAGUGAUGAAGGUCUUCGGAUCGUAAAACUCUGUUAUGAGGGAAGAACAAAUGUGUAAGUAACUGUGCACGUCUUGACGGUACCUAAUCAGAAAGCAACGGCUAACUACGUG
rnacentral:rRNA from 1 species